rnacentral:lncRNA from 1 species
AUAAGCAGAAUUAUUGAGAUUUAACAAUCUUCGUGGGACAAAGAAUACAUUAGAGCCUGUUGAGGUACAGAAAGGAUGCACAUAUCCUGUUGAAUUGAGAUUAAUUAGCAAGGUCUUAAUUACAUACUUUUCGUUUUAGUUCAGUUACUGUACUAUAAUAGGCUUUAGUUCAUUCCUGAGAUACAAGUUGAGCAUGCUGUUUCAGAAGAGCUGUACAAAACAUGGACAUAUAUAUAUCCCUACACUUUGCGACUUUCCUCAGGCAGCCUUUUGUUUCUUCCUAUACAACUGUUACCUCUUUCUUGCGUUACAGCAACAACGCACCUUUUGUGUGACUUGCCUUUCUGCUUGAUGAGUUUAUCUUACAUGUUUACUUGUUUGAGAUACCUUCAUUUUUGUAAUUGUGUAACAAGGGGAACUUUUGAGCUGAAGACGACUCGAGAUCAUCACUAGAAUCAUCGUAUUCAGGCAUCUCUUUUGCCUUUCCCCACAUUACAGUAUAGAAUCCGAUGGCAAUUACAGUCGCUCCCAGAACGCUGAUUGUCAAAGCAGAAAGUAGUAGAUUAGAUUGACGAUGACAUAAAUUAUGAAAGAAAAUAAAUGUGUUGAGUAUAGGAAAUAUUUAUUGUGCAAAAAUGAGCACUUGAGGAGUUAGUACCUUCCCAAAUAAAGAGUAUCUCCUAGGAUAAUGACUCCCAUGGCAACUGCAAUGGCAAUGGACAGUGGUUUGAACAUUGCUACAUAGACUGGUCCUUUUACGCGCAAAGCCCAGGUGUGAAUUGUAUUGUUUAGGGAUGAGCCCAAAAUUCCCUGUGUAAUGCAGCACACAUCAUUUCGUCACACAACAAGGGAGCUAGCAAAAUCAACUCAUAUGUUAAUAAUCCAUCCAAUUCCAAACGGGUUGGGUUAUGAGCCGAUUGUUGACUUGACUCAACGAGUCCAAUUCAAAAGGACAUAUCAAACUGUUGGAUCAAAAGAGUGUAAUAUGAUGAGUUAAAACACAACCAAAACCCAAAAAUACAAAAGCAAAUUUGGAGAUUGGAAACCAUGUAAAUUUGGAAGAAGUUAAGAUACUAAUAUAUGGAAAAAAAUAUAUUGACUUUCACGAUUUUUAAAAAAGCUAAAAUAAAAAGAAAAAGAGGUAAGGUCAUGUUAGACAGAAUGAGUUAUGACCCGUUAUUUUACUGAUCUUGACUUUACUCGUUCUGAUCCAACUUUAAAGAGUUUUCGUUGCCGAUUUGUUUUAACUUGUCCAAAUUUGACCCGCCCCAUGUAUUUGCCAUCACUAUACAUAGAAGUCUAAAAGACAACAACUUGGUAGUUUGGGAAAGCGGGGUGGUAGGCUUUUCACAUCAAAUGAUUGGCCCGAGUUGGACAUCCAAUUGCAUUGAUUUAGAUUUGCUGGAGAAUUCAUUGCCUGAUAUAUAUAUAUAUAUAUAUAUAUCAUAACAAAGAUGUACGAUCAAACCUGUUUCUUGAGUCACUUACAGAGCAUAGGAUAGAGGCCAGUGCAAUGUCUGGUUUAAUUCGCCAUUUGCUGGAAUCGGGUUCAGUGAAAAAUCCAACAAUAGCAGCUAGGCAGCUCACACACAAGUUGUAGAAGAAAACUACAGUCACUUCAGCAGGAUACUCUUUCAUAAUCCAUGUCUGUCAUCAAAUGAACUGACUCAAAAUCAGGUAAUUUGUUUUGUUGCAAAAGAGUAGCUCUCUAUUCAGGUACUAAGUCUGCAUUUCACCUGAACAAUGUACCACAUAGGAACCAAAAAAUAUUCAGUUGUGAGGAAAAGGCCGCCAAGCAUCCAAUUCGAUUGGGACGAGCUGAGAGGUUGAUAUAGUAAAUUGGGCAUGGACGUGAUAGCCACCAAUAAUUUUGGGCUAAAGGCCACCAAGCAUCCAAUUCGAUUGGGAUGAGCCGACAUAUUGGCCAAGGAAAUUGGGCGUGGACGUGAUAGCCACUAAUAAUUUUGGGCCUUUGUAGAGAGUCACUACGAAUGCUCCAGCUAUGGAAACCACCGUGCCCAAGACUUUAGCUCUAGUGCUUGAUCUCUUUAAUUCUAUCUUUUCCAUCCUGUAUAUUAACACUUCCACUGCAUCAAAUUCUUCUUCUAAACUAUAAAAACCAGAAAGCUGAUGAAAUAAUUGCCCAUGUUAAAACAACUUGAUUUUCAUUUUUUAAACUCAAAUAUCUCCCUAAUUCCAUCCCCCCCAAAGCAGUUCAACAACAACCCAGCAUAAUCCCACUUAGUGGGAUCUAGGGAGGGUAGUGUGUACGCAGAUCUUACCCCUACACUUGGGUAGAGAGGCCGUUUCCCCCCAAAGCAGUUCAUUUCAUCUAAUUUAACAUGGGAAUUGAAGAAAUGCAUGAAUACC